GAUGGAUUUCUCUGGAACGAUCUUCGACUUUUUCCUCAAAUGCCUGUAGUUAAAGAACGAUUCUUUCGAACAAAAUUUAAAGAGCAAUGUUUUUGAUUCGGUGUGUCAAUUAAGAUAGGAAUUCUUAUCUGUCGGUAUGUGCGAUCAGCACAACGAGAAUGCGUAAAAGAAGGGAAGCACAUAGAGGGACGGUACAUAGAACGCACAUAGGGGUUUGCGCGCUGGGAGAAGUUUAUGGGGGCUCCAAGUAUAUUUCCUGAUUGAGCGGACUAAUCCACGCAAAGGAGGUUUUAUCGUCGAGGUAUACGUAAUCGAAGGGUCUCAUAUCUACACGAAUGUCACGUGGAGAAGUAUAAAAUCUUCUUCCAAUUUACAUUAUAAUAUUUCAAAUUGAUAAUUAAAACAAGAAUAAAAAGAAAAGGAAGAAAAUGAUUCAAAAAUUUUUAAAAUUGGGAAGAGAGAUACAAUUAUCAACGAUCCCGAUUGUAAACUUUCGUCAAAGGCAACGGGGUUCCACGCUCUCGACUUAUGGCCGGUUAAAGUCAAUUCGAUAGCAGUUAACGAAUUGUUGGGGGUGAAUAGAAGGGGUUUGCGGUUAACGCGAGGGGUUGACAGGGGAACGCAUAAUACAUUGUUACCCCAUCCACCGGAUUCAACUUCCCCUUCCACGUGCAGUAAUUUUCUCCGCGCGAAACUCGACAUCGGAGUGAACUAUCUCAUAAUUAAAAUUACCGUACUAUACGUACGCAUCGAGAGACUUCAACACUCUAAUACGCGUUGAAUUUAUGUUAUAUUCGAGUCACGGCUGUUAUUUGUCGCUUAAUUAUCAUUAAUUAUCAUCGAUAUUCACUUUUGCUACACCUAUCAUGAUCAUUCAUCUCUUCAUUUAGAAAGAUUAAUUUUAAUUUUUUAUUUUUUAAUUCCUUUUUUUCUUCAAUUUAUUUGUUUAAAUGAUAAAAAAUUAGAUUAAGUUAAAAAUUAUUUAUGGAAUGGUAAUAAUAAGACAAAUACAAUACUUUAAUUUUUAUAUAUUUUUUUAGACAGUUUUUAAUGAAUACAAUAUGCUACAGAUUGUUUAUUACAAAUAAAAUUUUAAUUAAUAAGCAUUUAUAAUAUAGUUUAAACAUAUAUGAUAAUCAUAAUAUAAAAAGCGUAUAUGAGUCAUGUUUUAUUUCAUGAAAAUAAAAAUUAAAGAAUAUUUUUUUGCAUGAUAAUUGUUUAAAACAAAUUGUAUAUACAAAAUUUAUAUUUAAAUAAUAAUAAAUUAAUAAUUAA
rnacentral:lncRNA from 1 species